AUGGCACCACUGCACUCCAGCCUGGGUGACAGAGCAAGACGUUGUCUUAAAAAAAAAUUAUAUAUAUGUAUAUAUGUGUGUAUAUAUAUGUGUGUGUGUGUAUAUGUAUAUAUUUCUGCAGGGCCCUACUGUGAGUUUGUUACACAACUGACUGCAACUUAAAUAGUGCCACCACCCCACAAUAUGGCAAACUAAAUAGAAACUGUUUUGCUAAGGCUGGUUGAGGGCAGUAUGCAAGAUUAGCAUGGAAAGGGCCCUUCAUUUCACACUCUGUUAAUUUUUGUCAGGUCACUUUCUUAUCUUGACCACAUUGUCAGAUCUGUUUUACUGCUCUAGCCUCACUUCCCUCAGCCUCCUGCAGCAUCUUCCCUGUCAGCUAGAUCCCUUCCUCUAUGGAUGAAGUCCUCUUCAUCGACCAGCUUUCUCACUUGGUUCUCUAAGACAGUGAGGAUCUGUCUGCUUUUGUCUUGACCAUUAGUGGAUAGGAAAAAUGCUCUCAUUCUCUGUAACUAUUUGUCACCAAGGCCAUAAAGACAUUGAACUAACUGCCUUAUUAGAGUUUAUUACUGGAAGUCUUCAGGAGUUUACACAUUUAUAUACCAAGUAAGUAGGCCAGUGCAUUUGUCUUGUCUCAUGUUUAAUGAUCUUUAAUGGCGUAUUGAAAAAUUACCAUUCUCAAGUAAAGAUAAUGUAUACGUCAGGUCAUUUACAGUCUCAAAGGUUUGUCAGUAUACUUUAAAACAAUCCUGGGAACAGUUCUAUAUUGAAGGAGACUGAAGAAUCAUGAACACUAGGCGGCGCUGGGGCUGGCAAGCACGUGGCAGAGGCGGUGCCAACGGGGGCUGCUGAGGCGGGCAGAGGGUUGGCGGCGCCUGGAAGCCUGUCGCUGGCACUGUCCCGGUGGGAGGCUCGGCAGCGGGCAUGUCGGUGGUGGGGCUGAAGAACCAUUUCUACAAGGCAAGCCAGCUGGUCAGUGAGAAGGUGGAAGGGGCUGAGGGGACCAAGCUGGAUGAUGACUUCAAAGAGAUGGAGAAGGUGGAUGUCACCAACAAGGCGGUGACGGAAGUGCUGGCCAGGACCAUCAAGUACCUGCAGCCCAACCCAAGCCUCGCAGGUAAGCUGACCAUGCUCAACAUGGUGUCCGAGAUCCGGGGCCAGGUGAAGAACCCCAGCUACCUGCAGUCGGAGGGGCUCCUGAGCGAGUGCCUGAUCCCCCACCUGAAGGAGCUAGGCGGUGAGUCCAACGUCGGUGACACACUGCUGGAUGUUGGCAAGUCCAUGAAGCACCUGGUGGAGGUGAAGGACUCCUUGGACAUAGAGGUCAAGCAGAACUUUAUUGACCACCUCCAGAACCUGUGCGAGAACGACCUGAAGGAGAUCCAGCACCACCAGUUGGAGGGCCGACGCCUGGACUUUGACUAAAAGAAGAAGCGGCAGGGCAAGAUCCCCAAUGAGGAGCUGCGCCAGGUGCUGGAGAAGUUUGAGGAGUCCAAGGAGGUGGCAGAAACCAGCAUGCGCAACCUCCUGGAGACCAAUAUCGAGCAGGUGAGUCAGCUCCCAACCCUGGUGGAGGCGCAGCUGGACUGCUACCGGCGGGCCAUGCAGAUCCCGGACAAGCUGGCAGAGUAGCCCAAGCGCAGAAUGCAGGAAGCUUCCU